UACGUAGGCCGCAAGCGUUGUUCGGAGUUACUGGGCGUAAAGGGUGCGUAGGCGGCUUUUUAAGUUUGGUGUGAAAUCUCCCGGCUCAACUGGGAGGGUGCGCCGAAUACUGAGAGGCUAGAGUGCGGGAGAGGAAAGUGGAAUUCCUGGUGUAGCGGUGAAAUGCGUAGAUAUCAGGAGGAACACCGGUGGUGUAAACGGCUUUCUGGACCGUAACUGACGCUGAUGCACGAAAGCGUGGGUAGCAAACAGG
rnacentral:rRNA from 1 species